AGCGAACGCUGGCGGCGUGCCUAAUACAUGCAAGUCGAACGGAGUGGCGCACGGGUGAGUAAUGUAUAGCUAAUCUGCCCUACACUAGAGGACAACAGUUGGAAACGGCUGCUAAAACUCUAUAGUGUAGGAGGAGGCUAUGUUGUGUCAGCUAGUUGGUGAGGUAAUGGCGCACCAAGGCUAUGACGGAUAACUGGUCUGAGAGGAUGAUCAGUCACACUGGAACUGAGACACGGUCCAGGCUCCUAGGGGAGGCAGCAGUAGGGAAUAUGGCUCAAUGGGGGAAGCCCUGAAGCAGCAGCGCCGCGUGGAGGAUGACACUUUUCGGAGCGUAGACGCCUUUUGUUAUGUAAGCGGUACCUAGCGAAUAAGCACCGGCUAACUCCGUGCCAGCAGCCGCGGUAAUUC
rnacentral:rRNA from 1 species